rnacentral:lncRNA from 1 species
AAUCAUCAAACAGGAUCAACGAAGAAUUGCUAUACAUUAGGGUUCAUUUGAAUAUCUAUCUUUUUUUUUUUUUUUUUGCUGCAAAAAGCUUUAUUGUUUCCAUUUGGUCCACGUCUUGGGAGAGGGCCCCGGGAUGGUUAAAAAGCUGCCUAGUGGCUGCAGAGCGGGGCUUCAGGCAGAAGCUCUGAUGCCAGAGGGGCUCCUUAGAGGCCGCUGGACUUCAGCGACUGCUGUUCGUGCUCGAGGGUGAGCCUUUCAAAGAGAUACUCGCCCAGCCCAGCCUGCGGACCAGCCAGCCUGCGGAGGUUGGUCAGGUGGUCGCCCAUCUUCUUGAUGAGUUUCACCUCCCCAUCUAGGAAGUGGCUCUCCAGGAAGUCGCAGAGGUGGGGGUCUGCGCGGGCACAACCCAGGGCAUGCAGAUCCAGAAGGGCCUGAUUCAGGUUCUUCUCCAUGUUAAUGGCGGCUUCCAUAGCGUCCUGGGUUUUACCCCACUCAUCUUGAGAUGGCUUCUGCACGUCCUGGAAGAGCCACAUCGUCGCGGUCGAAAUAGAAGCCCAGAGAGAGGUAGGUGUAGGAGGCCCGCAGAUGCAUGCUGACCAGGCGGUUGACGGCAGCCUCCACCUCUGUGGAAUAAUUCUGACGAAUCUGGGAGCUCAUGGUUGAUCGGUAAUAAGGAGUUCGGCUCAGAAAAUGGUGUUGGCUGGUCCCGGUGACCGAGGAUAGCUGAGUGGCUGACUCGGAAGGUUGGAGGGUGGUCGGAGGCUGGAGGAAAGGGCGACCCUGGGUCUGUUCCGUCCAAACACUGUUGAAGCAAGAGACAGAUCCAGGGAACCGCCGAGCGCAAUGCCCGAGUAUCUAUCUUGAUGAACUUGGACAAGGAUGGAAUGUAGCUUUCAUUUCAUGUGCUAACUCCAGAUCGUUGGUAAUGGAUCCCAGAAUGUUCAGAUGACAGUGUUUCUGGGCUACCCCUUAUCUUAAAGGGAAGAGUACAGAUAAAAAGAAUGAGUGCUGUAACCAAUUAGAAAUGCCUACUACAGGCUCAUAUCUGCUUACU